rnacentral:rRNA from 1 species
CCUACGGGAGGCAGCAGUGGGGAAUUUUGGACAAUGGGCGAAAGCCUGAUCCAGCAAUGCCGCGUGAGUGAAGAAGGCCUUCGGGUUGUAAAGCUCUUUUGUCAGGGAAGAAACGGUGAGAGCUAAUAUCUUUUGCUAAUGACGGUACCUGAAGAAUAAGCACCGGCUAACUACGUGCCAGCAGCCGCGGUAAUACGUAGGGUGCAAGCGUUAAUCGGAAUUACUGGGCGUAAAGCGUGCGCAGGCGGUUUUGUAAGUCUGUCGUGAAAUCCCCGGGCUCAACCUGGGAAUUGCGAUGGAGACUGCAAGGCUAGAAUCUGGCAGAGGGGGGUAGAAUUCCACGUGUAGCAGUGAAAUGCGUAGAGAUGUGGAGGAACACCGAUGGCGAAGGCAGCCCCCUGGGUCAAGAUUGACGCUCAUGCACGAAAGCGUGGGGAGCAAACAGGAUUAGAUACCCUGGUAGUCCACGCCCUAAACGAUGUCUACUAGUUGUCGGGUUUUAAUAACUUGGUAACGCAGCUAACGCGUGAAGUAGACCGCCUGGGGAGUACGGUGCAAGAUUAAACGUUNAAAUUGAAAUUGACCGGNNGNGAGNGCGAGACGACGACGAGGGAGAGG